rnacentral:tRNA from 1 species
CAAGAUAGCUCAGUAGGUAGAGCACUUCCUUGGUAAGGAAGAGGUCGACGGUUCGAUUCCGUUUCUUG